rnacentral:rRNA from 1 species
UUUUUAUUUUUUAUUUUUUUUUUUUUUUCGUUGCAAAGAUGGGUUAAAAGAGAAGGGCUUUCACAAAGCUUCCCGAGCGUGAAAGGAUUUGCCCGGACAGUUUGCUUCAUGGAGCAGUUUUUUCCGCACCAUCAGAGCGGCAAACAUGAG